rnacentral:rRNA from 1 species
GGGAGGUAGUGACAAUAAAUCACAAUGCGGAACUUUUAGUUUUGCAAUUGGAUUGAGAACAAUGUACAAAUGUUAUCGAUAAACAAUUGGAGGGCAAGUCUGGUGCCAGCAGCCGCGGUAAUUCCAGCUCCAAUAGCGUAUAUUAACGUUGUUGCAGUUAAAAAGCUCGUAGUUGAAAUGUGGGAUGAAGUAUAUAAUGAAUUUCUAAUUCAAUUGUAUAUUGAUUCCCCUCUCCAAUUUAUUAUUAUGGGUAUUAAUUUAUUUGUAAUAAGAAUUGGUCAUUUACUGUGAGAAAAUUAGAGUGUUCAAAGCAGGCAUUUGCUUGAAUAGAUUAGCAUGGAAUAAUACUAAAAGGCUUUUAUGGUCGAUUUAAUUGGUUUGUUCAUAAAAGCAAGAUUAAAAGGAACAGUUGGGGGUAUUCAUAUUCAAUAGUUAGAGGUGAAAUUCUCGGAUUUAUGGAAGAUGAACAAGUGCGAAAGCAA